rnacentral:rRNA from 1 species
UCCGAUAGCAAACAAGUACCGUGAGGGAAAGUUGAAAAGUACUUUGAAGAGAGAGUAAACAGUGCGUGAAACCGAUCAGAGGUAAACGGGUGGAGUUGAACUGCAAGCUCUGAGAAUUCAGCUGGUGAGUGUGGUUUGAGCUUGGUCAAGUCAGUUGGAUUUUGUGGUCUGCGAGGCACUUAGCAAGUGUUGCAGGCCAUAGACUUCUUCGGGCUGGCUCACCUGUGCACUUUCUCAGAGUGGUCACCACGACCGGCAUUGCUGUCUGGCUGAUGGGGUUAAACCGGUUUUGCAUGGUCCUUGUGGCUCUGCUUGAUCGGGAUGGCAGGUAGCUCGUGGGGCCUGCUCAUGGUUCGCUGUGAGCGUGGUUUUCGAGUGUAAUCAGCUGACCACAUUGGUUCUGUGCAGUAUGUUGGAGACGGCGGCUAGUGCGCGUGCGUUCAUAGUUGGUCGGCGUGUCCGAAUUUGGUUGUUACGUUGCCUGUGUGUGCAGGCCUGAUGA